UACGAAGGGGGCUAGCGUUGUUCGGAUUUACUGGGCGUAAAGCGCACGUAGGCGGAUCGUUAAGUCGGGGGGUGAAAUCCUGGAGCUCAACUCCAGAACUGCCUUCGAUACUGGCGAUCUCGAGUCCGGAAGAGGUGAGUGGAACUCCUAGUGUAGAGGUGGAAAUUCGUAGAUAUUAGGAAGAACACCAGUGGCGAAGGCGGCUCACUGGUCCGGUACUGACGCUGAGGUGCGAAAGCGUGGGGAGCGAACAGG
rnacentral:rRNA from 1 species